UUUAUGUAAUCUGAGCGUCUUAUUUUAAUAAGUCAAAACUUUCAACAACGGAUCUCUUGGUUCUGGCAUCGAUGAAGAACGCAGCGAAAUGCGAUAAGUAAUGUGAAUUGCAGAAUUCAGUGAAUCAUCGAAUCUUUGAACGCACAUUGCGCCCAUUAGUAUUCUAGUGGGCAUGCCUGUUCGAGCGUCAUUUCAACCCUUAAGCCUAGCUUAGUGUUGGGAAUCUACUUCUUUUAUUAGUUGUAGUUCCUGAAAUACAACGGCGGAUUUGUAGUAUCCUCUGAGCGUAUUAAUUUUUUUCUCGCUUUUGUUAGGUGCUAUAACUCCCAGCCGCUAAACCCCCAAUUUUUUGUGGUUGACCUCGGAUCAGGUAGGAAUACCCGCUGAACUUAAGCAUAUCAAUAAGCGGAGGAAAAGAAACCAACAGGGAUUGCCUUAGUAACGGCGAGUGAAGCGGCAACAGCUCAAAUUUGAAAUCUGGCCCUUGGGUCCGAAUUGUAAUUUGUAGAGGAUGAUUUUGGUGCGGUAUCUUCCGAGUUCCUUGGAACAGGACGCCUUAGAGGGUGAGAGCCCCGUACGGUUGAAUGCCUAGCCUCUGUAAAUCUCCUUCGACGAGUCGAGUAGUUUGGGAAUGCUGCUCUAAAUGGGAGGUAAAUUUCUUCUAAAGCUAAAUAUUGGCCAGAGACCGAUAGCGCACAAGUAGAGUGAUCGAAAGAUGAAAAGCACUUUGAAAAGAGGGUUAAAUAGCACGUGAAAUUGUUGAAAGGGAAGGAUUUGUGA
rnacentral:rRNA from 1 species